rnacentral:rRNA from 1 species
UACGAAGGUCCCAAGCGUUAUCCGGAUUUAUUGGGUUUAAAGGGUGCGUAGGCGGACUAUUAAGUCAGUGGUGAAAGCCCCCAGCCUAACUGGGGAACUGCCAUUGAUACUGAUGGUCUUGAGUACAUUUGAGGUGGGCGGAAUGUGUCAUGUAGCGGUGAAAUGCUUAGAUAUGACACAGAACACCGAUUGCGAAGGCAGCUCACUAGACUGUAACUGACGCUGAGGCACGAAAGCGUGGGGAGCAAACAGG